UACGAGGGGGGCGAGCGUUGUUCGGAAUUAUUGGGCGUAAAGGGUGCGUAGGCGGCCUGACAAGUCUGAUGUGAAAUCCCUGGGCUCAACCCAGGGCCUGCAUCGGAAACUGUCGGGCUUGAGUAUGGGAGAGGUGAGUGGAAUUUCCGGUGUAGCGGUGAAAUGCGUAGAUAUCGGGAGGAACACCAGUAGCGAAGGCGGCACUCUGGGCCGGUACUGACGCUGAGGAGCGAAAGCGUGGGGAGCGAACAGG
rnacentral:rRNA from 1 species